GAUGAGCGCUGGCGGCGUGCCUAAUACAUGCAAGUCGAGCGAACGGACGAGAAGCUUGCUUUUCUGAUGUUAGCGGCGGACGGGUGAGUAACACGUGGAUAACCUACCUAUAAGACUGGGAUAACUUCGGAAAACCGGAGCUAAUACCGGAUAAUAUUUUGAACCGCAUGGUUCAAAAGUGAAAGACGGUCUUGCUGUCACUUAUAGAUGGAUCCGCGCUGCAUUAGCUAGUUGGUAAGGUAACGGCUUACCAAGGCAACGAUGCAUAGCCGACCUGAGAGGGUGAUCGGCCACACUGGAACUGAGACACGGUCCAGACUCCUACGGGAGGCAGCAGUAGGGAAUCUUCCGCAAUGGGCGAAAGCCUGACGGAGCAACGCCGCGUGAGUGAUGAAGGUCUUCGGAUCGUAAAACUCUGUUAUUAGGGAAGAACAUAUGUGUAAGUAACUGUGCACAUCUUGACGGUACCUAAUCAGAAAGCCACGGCUAACUACGUG
rnacentral:rRNA from 1 species